GUGACUAUUGCUGGGCUGGGUGGUGGGGCCCACUAGCUCUGGGUCCUCCCUGGGUUGGAGGGAGGGCACAAAACUCAGAACCUGAUGGGGGAGGGGGAGAAUGCAGUUACUCAGCUGGGCUUGUAGAAAUGUCAUUUGUUAAUUUAGCAAAAAUUUAUGGAGUGCUUGUUCUGUGCUAAGCACUGUUACAAACAUGCAAAAACGCUCUUUGAGGGGGCUUAUGUGUUAGUAGGGUGAGACAUGAUAAAGUAAUAGAAUAUAUGGUACUUUAGGUGAUGAUGAGUGAUAAGGAAAAAUAGAAAGGAAUAGGGAGUGGGUGAGAGACUCUGUGUGUGUGUGUGUGUGUGUGUGUGUGUGUGUGUGUGUGUGUGUGUGUGUUGUGGGCGGGGGUCGGUUGCAACUUUAGAUUGGGUGGCCUGGGAAGGCUUUAGUGAUUAGUGAGAUCUGAGCGAAGAUCUGAGGAAGGUGAGAGAGUGAGCCACGUGGAUAACUAAGGGAAGAACAUCCCAGGCGAGUGUGAAGUUCCUGAGGUGAGGCCAUGACUAACGUGUGUGAGGGACAGUGUAGAAGCCAGCGCAGCAGGGGCAGAACGAGGGAGGGGGAGAGUGGUGCGGGGUGAGGGAGAGAGGUGGCUGAGGACAGAUUGGGUGGUGCCUCACAGGCCAUGGUGAAGACUUUGGCUUUUACUCCGAGUGAGGGGGAGCCGCAAGAGCAUUGUGGACGGAGGAGGGAUGUAAUCUGAUUUAGGAUUUAACAGGCUCCCUCUGGCUGCUGCUUGGAAAAUAGACGUCAGAGUAAGGGUGGAAACAGGCGACUCGUGAAGGGGAGGCCACUGCAGUGGUCCAGGCGAGAGUGAUGGUAGGUAGGGGAGGUAGAGACAUUUUGGAGGGUGUGUGUGUGUGUGUGUGUGUGUGUGUGAACUUUUUAAUUACAAAAAGUUUCAAACAUACAAAAGUAAAAUAGUAUAAUGAACCUACGUACACCAUCCCCCAGCUUCAGUAAAUAUCAACACGUGCUCAUUCUUAUUUUAUCUGUACCCCGUCUCCUCCCUCCCAUUCCCUCUGGAAUUAUUUUGGAAGACAUCCAGACAUCAUCCCAUCCAUAAAUACUUCUGUUUGUAUCUCAGAAAAUUAAGAACUCUUUUUUGUUUUUUUUUUUGAGACAGAGUCUCACUCUGUCACCUAGGCUGGAGUGCAGUGGUGUGAUCUCAGCUUACUGCAACCUCUGCCUCCUGGGUUCAAGCAAGUACAUCCAGCUAAUUUUUGUAUUUUUAGUAGAGACGGGAUCCGUUGCCUUGGCCUCCCAAAGUGCUGGGAUUACAGGUGUGAGCCAUCACGUCUGGCCAGAAAAUUAAGAAUUCUUAACCCCACAAUACUAUCAUCACACCUUAGAAAAUAAACGGUAAUUCCUCAGUAUCAUCAAGUAUUUGGUCAGUGUUCAAGUUUUCUUCUCUCAUAAGUGUUUAGGAUCCAAACAAAGUUGACAUGUUGCAUUUGAUUGAUGUGUCUCUUUAGAUUUUUAAAAUCUCCCCCACUUUGUUUCUUUGCAAUUUGUUGGUUGAAGAAACUUUGCUUGUCCUGUAGAAUUUUCCAGUCUGGGUCUGGCUGAUUACAUCCAGGUGGAAAUACAUUUCUUACUCCAUUUUUAUUAAUUUAUUAAUUAUAUUAAUUAAUGUAAUCUUAUUAAAUUUAUUUAAUUUAUCAAAUUGUAUUAAACGAAUGUAUUUAAUCUUUUAUUAUUAAAUUAACUAGAAUUAACUCUAUUUAAUUCUAUUAUUCCCACUUCCUUUAUUAGCUAGAAUUCUUCUCUAAAGAAAAACUGUCCCACACCAGCUAUUUGGCUACUUUGAGAUAUAGUUUGUGCAGAAAAAGCAGUGUAAAUAUUUAAUUUUUUCCAUUUUAUUUACCAGUUUUCAGAGAAGUACUACUACAAAGGUGACCAAUAAAAGGAUUUUUGGUUUUGUGUCAUUAUGAACUCAUGAAUUCUAAACAUAUUUGAAUGAGUUUCAAUCCAUUGCACUUAUUUGUUUGCUUUUUUUGAUGCUUAAAUUGAACUAUCCCUGGCUAGUAGGAGCUUAUUGAGAUGGGCUACUCUGUCCUUUUGACACGCCCUCAUCAUUCUGUGAGCCUUUCUCACAUCUUCCAUGACAAUAUGUGCUAGGUUCAUCCUGUACUCUCCCUGCCCCAAGCCUGGAAACAGCCAUUUCUUUCUUGCUUUUCUUUUCUUUAUUUUCUUU
rnacentral:lncRNA from 10 species